AAACACAAUAAGUUAAAAUCAUAUAGGUAUUUUGAAUUAUCAUAAUUUAAUUACGAGUAAACGUGUGCCCUGAUAUUUAAGCGGUAAACAAUAGUUUUUAUAAAAUGCAUAAAUAUAGGAGCAUAUAAUAAAUCGCAUUGCAUUAAUGCAAAUCGUUUACGCUUAAAUUUAUCGAAAUUAUCUUUGUUCGGCAGUCGGUACUAUAAUACCAAUACUAUAUCA